ensembl:ncRNA lncRNA:CR44957 long non-coding RNA:CR44957
GCUGCGCAGCCAGAAGGAACUGGAGGAGCUGCUGCAGUCGCAGGAGAGCGCCAAGCUGCUGUACGAUAUCCUGCAUGUGGCCCAUUUGCCGGAGAAGGACGAGGUUACCGGCUCGACGGCGCUGCUGGCGGCUAGCAAGCAAUUUGGCGCCGGAUCGCACAAUCGCUUCAGGAUGGCGGCAGCCGCAUCGCGAAGGGGUCGCCGAUGAUGCUCUCCAGCAAGGAUGGACCUUAAAAGUAUUAUGUAUGCUCAGCUUACAUGCAUUACCGCCUCGCCUCUUCCCAUUGAUUAUGACAUAAUUAAUUACAAAUUUAUGUAAUAAUACUUUCCAGAAACGGGCGACAGAACAACCAGAACUCUCUCCGGCUCUGAAGAGUUGAGCACACAGACAGCGCACAAUUAUGGAAAUUUUUUUAAACGUUGCAAUUAAGUCGACUUGGGAAUGGGUUGCGGAUGCAGCUGCAGAUGAGGAUUGCAGGACAUCAAAAGGGCAGUGUUAUCCCAAUGCGUCUGGUUACCCAGCUUCAUGUUUGCCCUCGCUUUUUGUUGCGCCUCAUUGGGCAAAGCGCGCUUAGAGCGUGUUUCUGAUUGUUGGCAUUAUCUCCGGAUCCGGUUGCCACGUCCUCCGGAAUGAGGCGGGAAUUUCGGCUCGCACAUACACAAACUAACUUCAUGCUUCCUGCAUACACUGAAAGAAUGGAUGUGAGCUCAUCAGUAUAUAGAAGUUAAAACGUUAGACUUUCGAUUUAUAACAAUGAAGAGCUAUUUUCAGAUUUUUUUUAUGCUUCUCUGCUGCAUUUCAAUUUGCAUGUGCACCAAAUGCAUUUGAACUGAGCGUGAUUUGCGAAUAAAUAACUAUAUACCCGUAUACAUGCGGCUGUACAGUAGUUACUGGCUUAAAGGAACGCUAAACAAUGACUGGAUCGUGCCUUUUGCUGGGCAAGGCACUGCUGCUGCUUAUCAUAAAUGACAAAUCUAGAAGUGAAUGCGAAUGCUAAACGACCAACAACUAAAUGGGCCAAAAGACUCUGGAAAAUGGGAAAAUGCCUGGCGCUCCAAUUUUCCUGCAUUUGGUGUAAAUGUAAAUGUAAACGAUAUAAUCGCCAGUCUCCAUCUUCUUUAUUU